rnacentral:lncRNA from 1 species
AAUAUUUCUCCUUAUUGUGCAUCUAUCCAUGUCAGUUGAACCAUAAAUAGAACCCUUCACGAUUUUGAUUCAUUCUUCACCAUUUCUAUUCGGUUUUUGGAGCUUUUGGGAGAGAUUUGAAGAGGGAAUCAAGGGGGUUUCGUUGAGGUAAGUUACUUAAGCCCUAAUACUUGUAUAUAUGGUGGUUUUCCGUUGUUUAAUCUUGGUAAUUAGUGAAAAUGAGGGGUUAGGGCUUGAAAUUUUUAGAGAGUAAUUUAAUGAUUUGAAGGACCAAACGAUGUAAGAUUUUGAUGAAUUUGGUAUGGUUAGACUCGGGAGAGGACAAGGAUUAUUAUUCUGCCAUUUUUGACUGAUUUCGAGACAUGGGUCCGGAGGUCGGGUUUUGGUCGGUUUCAGAUUUUUGGCAUAAUUUGAUAGUUUUUCUUGUGGAAUUCAUUCCAUUAGCGUAUAUUAAAGGUAUUGUACUGAUUGUGAAUAGAUUCAGAGCAUUUGGAGACCGAGUCCAGAGAUGAGGGCAUCCCGGAGUAGGAUGUUUUUACGCUGUUAAGGUAAGUAACAGUUUUAACUCUGGCUUUGAAGGUAUAAACCCGGAGAUUUGACAUCAUGUGAUUGUUUGGAAGUGAUACCCACGCUAGGUGACGAGCGUGUGGGCGUGCACCGCGAGGGAUUGAGACUUGGUCCGUCCCGUGAGGCUGUGAGGCCUAAUGGCUAUUAUCUGUGGUUAUGUGUUUAAUUGUUGUUGAACUUAUUUGCCUUCAUGAUAGAGAUCAUGCUUAGGCUUUAUUCAUGCUCACAUUAUUUGUACUCAGUCAUAGAAAUUAUUGUACUUGUUUACCUCAGUCUUUAUUAUUUGCUAAUAUGCGGUGAUACUUGAUGUGAGUUGUGUUCCCUUAUUUGUUGGUGAUGAUGAGGCUAGUGAGGUACAUGAUUGAGUGAGGCCGAGGGCCUGGUUAUGAGGAUAUUAAUNNNNNNNNNNNNNNNNNNNNNNGUUGAGUGCGAGUGCUGAGUGAUGGAUUGACACUGCUGUGAUGUGGUAUUUAAUUGUGUUGUUACUGCAUUUAUCUGUUAAACUUCUUUGUGGCAUUUACUAAGUUAUGGAAUUUACCUGUUGAUUUCUAUUUAUUUUUAAAAUUGUGAAAAUAAAUAAUUGGACUGUUUUACUUAGCUCGUCAUUAUUGCUCAGUUCCUUAGUUAUUUCUGUUACUUGCUGAGGUGGUUGUACUCAUGCUACACCCUGCACUUUAUGUGUAGAUUUAGGUAAGUUACAGCGCGGCGAUCGUUGAGUUCAGGCCGACUAUCUGUGUAGAUUGCAAGGUAGCUGCUAGCGUCUGCAGGACCUUGUCACUCCUUUUAUCAUUUCUUCUUUUGGAUUGUAUUGACAGUUAGACAGUUUCAUUUCUUAGUUCAUAGAUUUAGACGCCCAUGACUUAGUGACACCCCGAUGUUUGGGGC